rnacentral:rRNA from 1 species
UACAGAGGUCUCAAGCGUUGUUCGGAUUCAUUGGGCGUAAAGGGUGCGUAGGUGGCGCCGUAAGUCAGGUGUGAAAUUUCGGAGCUUAACUCCGAAACUGCAUUUGAUACUGCGGUGCUUGAGGACUGGAGAGGAGACUGGAAUUUACGGUGUAGCAGUGAAAUGCGUAGAGAUCGUAAGGAAGACCAGUGGCGAAGGCGAGUUUCUGGACAGUUACUGACGCUGAGGCACGAAGGCCAGGGGAGCAAACGGG